GACGAACCGAGCGAACGUUGUUCGGAAUCACUGGGCUUAAAGGGCGCGUAGGCGGGCUGUCAAGUCUGGGGUGAAAUCCCGCGGCUCAACCGUGGAACUGCCUUAGAUACUGACGGCCUCGAGGGAGGUAGGGGCGAGCGGAACUCUCAGUGGAGCGGUGAAAUGCGUUGAUAUCGGGAAGAACACCCGUGGCGAAGGCGGCUCUCUGGGACGGUACUGACGCUGAGACGCGAAAGCGUGGGGAGCGAACAGG
rnacentral:rRNA from 1 species